rnacentral:rRNA from 1 species
CCUACGGGAGGCAGCAGUGAGGAAUAUUGGUCAAUGGGCGCGAGCCUGAACCAGCCAAGUAGCGUGAAGGAUGACUGCCCUACGGGUUGUAAACUUCUUUUAUAUGGGAAUAAAACAGGGUAUGCAUACCCUCUUGUAUGUACCAUAUGAAUAAGGAUCGGCUAACUCCGUGCCAGCAGCCGCGGUAAUACGGAGGAUCCGAGCGUUAUCCGGAUUUAUUGGGUUUAAAGGGAGCGUAGGUGGAUUGUUAAGUCAGUUGUGAAAGUUUGCGGCUCAACCGUAAAAUUGCAGUUGAAACUGGCAGUCUUGAGUACAGUAGAGGUGGGCGGAAUUCGUGGUGGAGCGGUGAAAUGCUUAGAUAUCACGAAGAACUCCGAUUGCGAAGGCAGCUCACUGGACUGCAACUGACACUGAUGCUCGAAAGUGUGGGUAUAAAACAGGAUUAGAUACCCUAGUAGGC